rnacentral:rRNA from 1 species
AGAGCGAACGCUGGCGGCAGGCCUAACACAUGCAAGUCGAGCGCCCCGCAAGGGGAGCGGCAGACGGGAGAGUAACACGUGGGAACGUACCCUUUGGUUCGGAACAACACAGGGAAACUUGUGCUAAUACCGGAUAGGCCCUUACGGGGAAAGAUUUAUUGCCAAAGGAUCGGCCCGCGUCUGAUUAGCUUGUUGGUGAGGUAACGGCUCACCAAGGCUACGAUCAGUAGCUGGUCUGAGAGGAUGAUCAGCCUCACUGGGACUGAGACACGGCCCAGACUCCUACGGGAGGCAGCAGUGGGGAAUAUUGGACAAUGGGCGCAAGCCUGAUCCAGCCAUGCCGCGUGGAUGAUGAAGGCCCUAGGGUUGUAAAGUCCUUUCGGACGGGGAAGAUAAUGACGGUACCCGUAGAAGAAGCCCCGGCUAACUUCGUGCCAGCAGCCGC